rnacentral:rRNA from 1 species
GUCGAGCGGGGAAGGGUAGCUUGCUACCUAACCUAGCGGCGGACGGGUGAGUAAUGCUUAGGAAUCUGCCAUUUAGUGGGGGACAACAUUCCGAAAGGAAUGCUAAUACCGCAUACGUCCUACGGGAGAAAGCAGGGGAUCUUCGGACCUUGCGCUAAAUGAUGAGCCUAAGUCGGAUUAGCUAGUUGGUGGGGUAAAGGCCUACCAAGGCGACGAUCUGUAGCGGGUCUGAGAGGAUGAUCCGCCACACUGGGACUGAGACACGGCCCAGACUCCUACGGGAGGCAGCAGUGGGGAAUAUUGGACAAUGGGCGGAAGCCUGAUCCAGCCAUGCCGCGUGUGUGAAGAAGGCCUAUGGUUGUAAAGCACUUUAAGCGAGGAGGAGGCUACUUAGAUUAAUACUCUAGGAUAGUGGACGUUACUCGCAGAAUAAGCACCGGCUAACUCUGUGCCAGCAGCCGCGGUAAUACAGAGGGUGCGAGCGUUAAUCGGAUUUACUGGGCGUAAAGCGUGCGUAGGCGGCUUUUUAAGUCGGAUGUGAAAUCCCCGAGCUUAACUUGGGAAUUGCAUUCGAUACUGGGAAGCUAGAGUAUGGGAGAGGAUGGUAGAAUUCCAGGUGUAGCGGUGAAAUGCGUAGAGAUCUGGAGGAAUACCGAUGGCGAAGGCAGCCAUCUGGCCUAAUACUGACGCUGAGGUACGAAAGCAUGGGGAGCAAACAGGAUUAGAUACCCUGGUAGUCCAUGCCGUAAACGAUGUCUACUAGCCGUUGGGGCCUUUGAGGCUUUAGUGGCGCAGCUAACGCGAUAAGUAGACCGCCUGGGGAGUACGGUCGCAAGACUAAAACUCAAAGGAAUUGA